rnacentral:rRNA from 1 species
UACGUAGGGGGCAAGCGUUAUCCGGAUUUACUGGGUGUAAAGGGAGCGUAGGUGGCAUGGUAAGCCUGAAGUGAAAACCCGGGGCUCAACCCCGCGGAUUGCUUUUGGAACUAUCAGGCUGGAGUGCUGGAGGGGUAAGCGGAAUUCCUAGUGUAGCGGUGAAAUGCGUAGAUAUUAGGAGGAACGCCGGUGGCGAAGGCGGCUUACUGGACAGAAACUGACACUGAGGCUCGAAAGCGUGGGGAGCAAACAGG